rnacentral:rRNA from 1 species
AGAGACAGCAGCAGCCACGGUAAUACGAGGGGUGCAAGCGUUAUUCGGAUUGAUUGGGUGUAAAGGGUGUGCAGACGGCUUAUUAAGUCACUUGUUAAAUUCUUCGGCCUAACUGAAGGUCUGCAAGUGAUACUGAUGAGCUAGAGGGUGGAAGAGAGAAGUGGAAUUCUCGGAGUAGCGGUAAAAUGCGUAGAUCUCGAGAGGAACACCAAUGGCGAAGCAGCUUCUUGGUCCAUUCCUGACGUUCAUACACGAAAGCGUGGGGAGCAAACAGGAUUAGAUACCCCCGUAGUCCCUGUCUCUUAUACA